rnacentral:rRNA from 1 species
AUGGCGCCCAAGGCGGAGAAGAAGCCGGCGGCGAAGAAGCCCGCGGAGGAGGAGCCCGCGGCGGAGAAGGCCCCCGCGGCGAAGAAGCCCAAGGGCGAGAAGCGGCUGCCGGCGGGGAAGACUUCCGCCGGCAAGGAGGGCGGCGAGAAGAAGGGCGGGAAGAAGAAGGCCAAGAAGAGCGUGGAGACGUACAAGAUCUACAUCUUCAAGGUGCUGAAGCAGGUGCACCCCGACAUCGGCAUCUCCUCCAAGGCCAUGUCCAUCAUGAACUCCUUCAUCAACGACAUCUUCGAGAAGCUCGCCGGCGAGGCGGCCAAGCUCGCCCGCUACAACAAGAAGCCCACCAUCACGUCCCGGGAGAUCCAGACCUCCGUCCGCCUCGUCCUCCCCGGCGAGCUCGCCAAGCACGCCGUCUCCGAGGGCACCAAGGCCGUCACCAAGUUCACCUCCUCUUAG